CCUUCUGUAGCAGAGCUUAACGGAGACCUUGCACCCGAGAGGGGGGAGGCGACUAUAAGAGAACUCCCAGCGCAAGUCAGCCUAGCUGGCAACACAAUCGAAAAAAUUGCGGGGACGCUUUAAAGCCCACCGGUACCAACUGCUCCUCUGGGGCAGGGCCAGUUAUGCUGGAGGUCACAACCCGGUAGGAUACUACAAUAAGCAAUCCGCAGCGGCUCCGCCGUCCACAGACUAAGUHGUUGUGGGUAGGGAUCCCCUACUUAAGAUAUAGUCGGGCCCUGUGAUAAGUCAUAGGGGCUUCUGCGUCCGUAGGUGAACCUGCGGAAGGAUCAUUAACCAUUGGAUACCUUCGGGUAUAUCCCAUCCGUGUCUACAUACUCUUGUUGCUUUGGCAGGCCGUGGUCACCCACUGUGGGCUAUGCCUGCAUGUGCCUGCCAGAGGACCAAACUCUGAAUAUUAGUGAUGUCUGAGUACUAUAUAAUAGUUAAAACUUUCAACAACGGAUCUCUUGGUUCUGGCAUCGAUGAAGAACGCAGCGAAAUGCGAUAAGUAAUGUGAAUUGCAGAAUUCAGUGAAUCAUCGAAUCUUUGAACGCACAUUGCACCCGGUGGUAUUCCGCCGGGUAUGCCUGUUCGAGCGUCAUUAUAACCACUCAAGCCUGUCUUGGUGUUGGGGUUGCGAAUCUUUUGCAGCCCUCGAGUCUCGUAGCGCCACCUGUGGGUUCUAAGCGUAGUAAUUUCUCCUCGCUAUAGAACCUGCUGGGGGAAAAGUAUAAUUCGUAGCCUGGUUCUAUGUGUCCGCUAUCAAACCCCCAAUUUUUUAAGGUGACCUCGGAUCAA
rnacentral:rRNA from 1 species